GAUGAACGCUGGCGGCGUGCCUAAUACAUGCAAGUCGAGCGAACAGAUGAGGAGCUUGCUCCUCUGACGUUAGCGGCGGACGGGUGAGUAACACGUGGAUAACCUACCUAUAAGACUGGGAUAACUUCGGGAAACCGGAGCUAAUACCGGAUAAUAUAUUGAACCGCAUGGUUCAAUAGUGAAAGACGGUUUUGCUGUCACUUAUAGAUGGAUCCGCGCCGCAUUAGCUAGUUGGUAAGGUAACGGCUUACCAAGGCAACGAUGCGUAGCCGACCUGAGAGGGGGAUCGGCCACACUGGAACUGAGACACGGUCCAGGCUCCUAAGGGAGGCAGCAGUAGGGAAUCUUCCGCAAUGGGCGAAAGCCUGACGGAGCAACGCCGCGUGAGUGAUGAAGGUCUUCGGAUCGUAAAACUCUGUUAUUAGGGAAGAACAAAUGUGUAAGUAACUAUGCACGUCUUGACGGUACCUAAUCAGAAAGCCACGGCUAACUACGUG
rnacentral:rRNA from 1 species